UACGUAGGGGGCAAGCGUUGUCCGGAUUUAUUGGGCGUAAAGAGCGUGUAGGCGGUUUGGUAGGUCCGCUGUGAAAACUCGAGGCUCAACCUCGAGACGCCGGUGGAAACCAUCAGACUAGGGUCCGGAAGAGGAGAGUGGAAUUCCUGGUGUAGCGGUGAAAUGCGCAGAUAUCAGGAAGAACACCCGUGGCUAAGGCGGCUCUCUAGUACGGUACUGACGCCGAGACGCGAAAGCGUGGGGAGCGAACAGG
rnacentral:rRNA from 1 species